CACCCAGGGGAAGCUCCACUCCCAGGUGCUCUGACACAGCCAGGAUCAGAGGAUGGUCUUCUGUGGCUUCACCUCCUCUCCUGAACUUGUGUGGCAUUUCUCACAGUCUAGUGCCCCUCUCCAAUCUCCGAACAAGCACAUGUACCAGCUGCUGUGCUCCUGGAAGACAGCCAGACUUCUUAGAUUUUCACCAACUGUGUCUCUUCCUUCAACUGCAGCAUCUGACUAGAAACAUCGGUGUUAAAUGGGCUACCAAUCUGGAUAUGAUCCUAACUUCUUGACCUUGUGAAGGUUGACAUAUCACUGGCUCGACACUCAGUUGCUAUCUUUCUAAACUAACUAACAGUUUACCUCUUUUUGAGCCUGAGCUCUCCUGAAUCUUCACUUGAGCAUUAAAUUUCAAUAGAUCAGCUGAAGAGAAAGCUCUGUCAAAGUACUUGUGAUCCAGGCAUUGGGAUCGGAGACCAGAACUCCACCAUCUACUUUUGGAAAAAGACAAGUAUGGUAUCAGCUGGGGAGGCAGAGAUGGACAGAUACCACCCAGCCUUGUCUAAUCACCAAACUAGGAUAAACGUGACCCUCCCAAGAUACAAGGAGGACAACUCCUGAAAAAUGAUACCUGAGGUUGACCUCCAUCUUCAUACACAUCACAAACACACACACACAAAUCUAUUAGAAGUCUCUAAUGUUCUGGACUCAAGGUCCCCACUGUCCUCUGGUCCUUUGCUCCCAAACUGUCUCUCCACACCUUUCCUUUUCAAAGCCACCUCUUGCAAAUGCAGCCACUAACUCUUUGGAAUUUCACAUUGAUUCCUUUUGCUUCAUAUGCAAAAUAAUAGUAAAACCUUCCCACAAAAUCUUCUGCAAGUCUUCUUGAAAAUUUGUAGUAUGUAUGGUAUGUUUUGAUGGAAGUUUUAAUUAAACAUUUAGAACUAA